rnacentral:rRNA from 1 species
AUACGGGGGGUGCAAGCGUUAUUCGGAUUUAUUGGGCGUAAAGGGCGCGUAGGCGGCUUGGAAAGUCAGAUGUGAAAGCCCGGGGCUCAACCCCGGAAGUGCAUUUGAAACUAUCAGGCUUGAGUAUGAGAGAGGGAAGUGGAAUUCCUGGUGUAGAGGUGAAAUUCGUAGAUAUCAGGAGGAACACCGGUGGCGAAGGCGACUUCCUGGACCAAUACUGACGCUGAGGCGCGAAGGCGUGGGGAGCAAACAGGAUUAGAAACCCCGGUAGUCC